rnacentral:rRNA from 1 species
CAAUAGCGUAUAUUAAAGUUGUUGCAGUUAAAAAGCUCGUAGUUGAAUUUUUGCUUGCCGCCGAUGUCGGAACUUCCGUACGUUCGGCGGCGUGCAUCCUUGGGUGGAACCUGUGUGGCAUUAGGUUGUCGUGCAGGGGAUGCUCAUCGUUUACUGUGAAAAAAUUAGAGUGUUCAAAGCAGGCUUACGCCGUUGAAUAUAUUAGCAUGGAAUAAUAAGAUAGGACCUUGGUACUAUUUUGUUGGUUUGCGCACCGAGGUAAUGAUUAACAGGGACAGUUGGGGGUAUUCGUAUUCCAUUGUCAGAGGUGAAAUUCUUGGAUUUCUGGAAGACGAACUGCUGCGAAAGCAUUUACCAAGGAUGUUUUCAUUAA